GAGGAUGAGAACCUCCGGGGGCGGGAGGUUCGACCCGAGCGAAGCGAGAGAACGUUGCGCGAGCAACGGCCCGCAGGGCGAGCCAUCCUC
rnacentral:sRNA from 2 species